rnacentral:snoRNA from 1 species
AGUCCGUGGUACGGGCAACAUCAGAGCAAGUUUUUGUACCUCUCCCAAGCAUCAUACAUGCUCUCGUCAUCGAACUGCACAAAAAAGAUAUAUCGUUUCUCAAUCU